UGUCUUUCCAAAAAAGUUGCAUUAAGAUGGCAAUCCCGUUCUGCGCUGGGGGGAAACAAGUUUACAACUCCAAAGCCGAGACGUCCACACUGGCUGGAGAUAUAACCAUCCCUAAAAGAGACUAUAAAGAAACGACAGGGAAGGACAAUGUUAGACUUAUCUCUGAGCCAAGUGCGUCAAAGAAGGAGAAAAAAAAAGACACAAGAGAAGAAAAUGACUGAAAGACUGCAAGGCAUUUGAAAGCUGUCAGACAUGUAUGCAGCAAGCAGGGAAGGUGCUAUCCAGUUUCUCAGGUGAAGGAAGGGACUGUGGAAACGUGCUUUAGGUGAACACAACUCUCCAUUGUAAACUUUCUCAUGGGCUUCACGGAAUCCCCGGUGGUCUAAUAUUAGAGGUUCUAUAACUGUCCUGGAAAAAUGUUUUAAUGCAACAACAUAAACAACAAGUAGAAACACUAAUAUUAAAGGUUGAUGUUAAUUAUAAUGACAACAAUGUGUCAUUGUAGUGUCUCAGCAUCACCACGACCAUCAUCAUCAUCAUCAUCAUCAUCAUCAUAAUAAUAAUAAUAAUAAUAAUAAUAAUAAUAAUAAUAAUAAUAAUAUCGAAGGAGAGCUCAAACCAGAUGUUCUUAUGUCUUAUGUCACUGUGGACACAUCAUCACUGGGGACAUCAGACUACACUGAAUAAACAAAGCCAAACUUGCCGGAAACACACAAAGCCUCCUUUUGUUUGCGUGUACAGGAAGGCACUUACAAUAGUGAGACACUUCAGAAUGAAUAGAAAGUUUCAUUCAUCGCUUACUCCCUUGUGCACGACAACGACGAGGAGCCCGAGAUCGGAAAUGGGACGAAGAAAUGAGGAAAGAAAGCUUUAGGAAAUUGCAGGAGAGCUUUAAUGAGCCACGAGGAAAUACGAGGCAGGACGAAAAUGUCAACACUGAGUAUAGGGCCGCGGGAAGACGACAACAAUUAGUCAGCAGGCUGACGUCACUGACGGAGAACGUACUGUUCUGUCCACCGGCAGGUAGGAGCUCAGCUAGACUACUCUAACCAGCAUGACUAACACGUACAUGACUUUCACCAGGAAUAUCUCUCACAAUCAAAAUCAGCCAGAACUCUCACCAGUGGCUAAGAGCUGCCGACCUGCGGCUACGUCAGAAAAAAAAGCGCAUCACAGCUCCUUAUGUGGGAUGCAAACAGAGGAAGGAGGAAGAGAGAGAGAGUUAGAGAGAGAGAGAGUGAGAGAGAGAGAGAGAGAGAGAGCACUGACAAAGAGAGUCAGAUUUCUCAGCUGUUGAUCAUAUUUUAUUGUUUAUAUGCCUUGGCAUUGAAAGGGAACAGGCUGAAUAUUUUACAGCAUGUUUAAACCCAAUUCUGCAAUAAAAAAAUACAAGAAAAUAAAUAAAUCCCUCUUCCACUAUUAUUCCUUUGCUUGCUUGUUUAUUUAUUUAUUUAUUUAUUUACUUUUGAUUAGACUUGUAGGUGCAAAAACACGUGAACAGUCCUUAUUCCUCGAUUAAAUGCAAAUAAAA